UGAAGAGCUCUGUCGCAGUAACCCAGUGUUUUUCUCUCCCCUUAGAUCCUCCACCCAGGUGCCAGACAAGAACCCCACGAGAAGGUCCAAGGUCUGCUGGAAAUACUCAAGUUCGCCAAACCACUGUGGCUGACGUCUUCCCUCACGAUCUUGAUUAAAAAUUAGGAGGCGAGAGAGGAAACAGAGCAGUUGAAGCCAGGCGGCUCCUCACCUCUUCACAGCAUGAGUCAAGAGCGGGCAUCUUGUGUUGAUGAAUCACAGGGAGCAUGACAAGACUCAGCACGUGAAUGCCAGCCAGCCACCAUGGACUAGAACAAGAUAGGAGAAGAUGUGACCCCCUGGCACAUUGCUGUCCCCAUCCAGCCUCCAGGAGCCAGGACUUUGACAGUGGGAAGCGCAGAGAUGAAGGUGAGCUUAAGCUGAGGCUAGAGGGAGGAAGGGACAAGCCCAGGGCAUCAUACAGCUGGAGAAGGCACGUUACUCCUGAGGCUGCUGGGUAGUAUCUUGUGGCUAGGUUUCUGUGGUAAUAAACUGAAUAUGAAAAGCCAUGGGGAGGGGCUGGAGAGAUGGCUCAGAACUUAGAGCAGAUACUGCUCUUGCCGAGGAGCAAGUUUUGGUUCUCAGGUGGCAGACGCUUGACUAUAACUCCAGUUCCAAGAGAUCCAGCACCUGUGAGCCUUGUGGGUCUCCUGCACACACAUGGUAUACAUAAACUCACAGAGGCACAUAGGACACACACAAAGAGAAAUGAAUCUUAAAAAGGCCACGCCCCAGUGAACCCAGCCCCUUCCCCCAGCUCAGUGACCCAGAAGUUGUACUUGCAAUGUGGCUUCCCCUCCCACAAUCCCUCAAGCUUUCCCUUUCACAGUUGGGCCUGGCAAGAAAACAAAGGGGCCGUCGUGCCAUCAACAUGGCGCUGGGCCAGAACAUGCCGUGACCAGUCACAAGUGACCAUGACCGCUCACCUGAGGAUGGGGUUUCUGGAAGCACCCCAGACACUCAGAGAAAUCUGCCUCAGAGAGGGAACUACAGAGCACACACCAAGAAGAACAAGGUGUGUUCCACCUGUGUGCACCUGUCCAGAAAAGGCAGCGAGUUAGAGGUGACACUGAGCAUGCUCUACAACGUGCCCAGGUCCCUGCUUCCAUGUGCAAAAUCUUGGGGCAUCAGCAUGGAUGAGAACUAACUGCUGAUUAUCAAGAUCACAAACAAAAACAGAGGGAGAAAAAUGAGAGAGAAAAGAAGAGUGUCAAGUUGGGCCUGCUGCCACCUGGAUUUGGACGCCCUUCAAAGACCCAUGUGCUAAAAGGCUUGGUCCCCAGUCCACAGUGCCAGGAGGAGGCAGGAGGAGCUUUAAGAGGUGGGGCCUAGUAGGUGGUCUUCAGAUCAGUAGGUUCCUUGAAGAGGAUAGUGAGUCUGUAGCCCCCUCCUCUCCUGUUUUCUACCACUUCCUGUUCAGAGGCAUAAAGGCAACAGGGUUGUCUGAUCACAGUCUGAGAUCACAAAGGUGAGCCACUGCGAACCUUUCUCCCAGGGUGAUCAUAGCACCGAUUUGGUUAUAGUAACAGGAAGCUGACUAAUAUAGCAGCCCAUGUUGGGUGGGCUGAUGGGAAGGACGCAUCUGUUCUCAGUUCUCUUCUGCUAGAAAUCCUCUGUCACUCAAACCAGGCCAGGCCCACCCAUCCCCACAGUUCCAACAGCUGAACUCAGGUCCUCUGUAAAAGUACUAAGUGCGUUUGAUCACAGAGCUCUCUCUCCAGUCCCUCAGGGUUUCCUUUUAAAACGUAAAAUAAAAACACACCUUCAUUAUUUAUUUUGUGUGUGGCAGGGUGUACCACAGCUGAGUGUGGAGGAUGGAGGACCGAAUGCAGGAGUCAGUUCUCUCUUUACAUGAUGCGGGUUCCAGGGAUGGAACUCAGAUCAUCAGGCUUAGCGUCAACGCGUGUCAGCUGAGCCAUCUUGUCAGAUCUUGCUCACCCGUCCCCCCCACCCCCCACCCCCGCCAAGCAAGAGUAGGUCACAUGGCCUCGUGGCCCACCGCAGUUGGAACCACAGAACCACAUGUGGAAGAGGUUGGAUCUACCCUUCUUAGGGUCAGCAUGGCACUCUCUCUGUUCUUCACUCGGUCAGGGGUUGUGAUUCGAUCGGAGCAGAAGCUGUGGACCAAUCAGCAAGAGGAAAACACAGCUCAAACCUGUGGUAACUCAGCUGGCCCAGAGGGAUUCAAAUAAGGCUGCAGAGGCGGAGGGAGGGGGAGGGGACGGUGGUACCAGAAAACCCAGCGCCCAAAGAGAAAAAGGCCGGGUUCCGUUUACAUCGCUGACAUGAAGAGAGCUACAAAAUAUAAUAAUACAAAAGGAAUUAUGUUUAAAGAGUAGCUAUAAAAGAAUCGGGUAACAGCUGGAUCCAAAGAUCCAGACUGUAUCAGUGAAAACCAGCUACAAAUAAAACUUCAUUCUUCAUGGGGA